UGUAUACUUGUACCAACUGGAUGAGCAGCGAACGGGUGAGUAACGCGUGGGGAAUCUGCCUUUGAGCGGGGGACAACAUUUGGAAACGAAUGCUAAUACCGCAUAAAAACUUUAAACACAAGUUUUAAGUUUGAAAGAUGCAAUUGCAUCACUCAAAGAUGAUCCCGCGUUGUAUUAGCUAGUUGGUGAGGUAAAGGCUCACCAAGGCGAUGAUACAUAGCCGACCUGAGAGGGUGAUCGGCCACAUUGGGACUGAGACACGGCCCAAACUCCUACGGGAGGCAGCAGUAGGGAAUCUUCGGCAAUGGACGAAAGUCUGACCGAGCAACGCCGCGUGAGUGAAGAAGGUUUUCGGAUCGUAAAACUCUGUUGGUAGAGAAGAACGUUGGUGAGAGUGGAAAGCUCAUCAAGUGACGGUAACUACCCAGAAAGGGACGGCUAACUACGUGCCAGCAGCCGCGGUAAUACGUAGGUCCCGAGCGUUGUCCGGAUUUAUUGGGCGUAAAGCGAGCGCAGGUGGUUUAUUAAGUCUGGUGUAAAAGGCAGUGGCUCAACCAUUGUAUGCAUUGGAAACUGGUAGACUUGAGUGCAGGAGAGGAGAGUGGAAUUCCAUGUGUAGCGGUGAAAUGCGUAGAUAUAUGGAGGAACACCGGUGGCGAAAGCGGCUCUCUGGCCUGUAACUGACACUGAGGCUCGAAAGCGUGGGGAGCAAACAGGAUUAGAUACCCUGGUAGUCCACGCCGUAAACGAUGAGUGCUAGAUGUAGGGAGCUAUAAGUUCUCUGUAUCGCAGCUAACGCAAUAAGCACUCCGCCUGGGGAGUACGACCGCAAGGUUGAAACUCAAAGGAAUUGACGGGGGCCCGCACAAGCGGUGGAGCAUGUGGUUUAAUUCGAAGCAACGCGAAAACCUUACCAGGUCUUGACAUACUCGUGCUUUUCCUAGAGAUAGGAAGUUCCUUCGGAACCGGAUACAGGUGGUGCAUGGUUGUCGUCAGCUCGUGUCGUGAGAUGUUGGGUUAAGUUCCGCACGAGCGCACCCCUAUUGUUAGUUGCCAUCAUAGUGGCACUCUAACG
rnacentral:rRNA from 2 species